rnacentral:rRNA from 1 species
GACGAACGUUGGCGGCGUGCUUAACACAUGCGAGUCGAACGAAGAGCGAUGGAAGCUUGCUUCUAUCAAUCUUAGUGGCGAACGCGUGAGUAACGCGUAAUCAACCUGCCCUUCAGAGGGGGACAACAGUUGGAAACGACUGCUAAUACCGCAUACGAUCUAAACUCGGCAUCGAGGAUAGAUGAAAGGUGGCCUCUACAUGUAAGCUAUCACUGAAGGAGGGGAUUGCGUCUGAUUAGCUAGUUGGAGGGGUAACGUCCCACCAAGGCGAUGAUCAGUAGACGGUCAGAGAGGAGGAGCGGCCACGUUGGGACUGGGACACGGCCCAGACUCCUGCGAGAGGGAGCAGUGGGGAAUCUUCCGCGAUGGACGAAAGUCUGACGGAGCAACGACGCGUGAGUGAUGACGGCCUUCGGGUUGUAAAGCUCUGUUAAUCGGGACGAAAGGACUGCUUGCGAAUAGUGGGAAGGAUUGACGGUACCGGAAUAGAAAGCCACGGCUAACUACGUG